rnacentral:lncRNA from 1 species
AGUGCGAUGAGAGGGACUAUCGCUGGCCGAUGAUCGCGAUUGAGACAUCUGAGGGUGGAAGGAAAAGCCCCGCCGCUCAGCGCGGUGGGGGAAAUAGCAUGGAAACGUCGAGAAUUCCCAAGAAAAAAAAGAUUUCAACAGAACCCUAAGCUAAACACGUUUCCACUAGUUCUCACCGGAGAAAUCAAAAUCCAUACCGAUUGUGACAGAAUCGUUUAGAAGAGACUGCCGCCUGUUCUAUGACUGACAGUGGAGGAUAUGAUCGGGAAAAAAAAGCGUCGCCGUGGCGGUGGUGGCUCGCGCG